UCCAUGUUCCUCCUACUCCUGUUCCUCUUCCUCAUACCCGUACUCAUACUCCUGCGAUUUCUUACUCUGUUCUUCUUCUUCAUUAUCAUCAUCGUUGGUCAACUGUUCGAUCUAUAAUCGUCCUUUCUCUAUUUCUACAUCUACCAACAGAGCUGAUUUUGGGUGAUUUCAAGAUGAAAUAGAUGAAGAAGAGAUGGUUAUGCUGAGUAACAGAUGUCAGGGAAACGAGUAGUGGAGAUGGGUUUAAUGGUAAGCCGCCGUAGUUCAUGUUGGAAGUGAUACGGAGAUAGAGAAGGGAAAUGGAAAGCUAAAGAAGAGUACUGAUUGAUGCACAGCAACACCACCAGGUUGUGCAUGCAAAAUGUUCGAUGUAAUGCAUGAUACACUAGUCUCGAGUAUGAUG